AUUUAUAUAGUUUAAAUUUAAAACUAUACAUUUUCAUUGUAUCAAUAAAACUUUAGUUUUUAUAAAUA
rnacentral:tRNA from 1 species